rnacentral:piRNA from 1 species
UGCCCAAGGCCUCAAAGUGCACAUUCAGG